GACGGAGGGGGCAAGCGUUGUUCGGAAUUACUGGGCGUAAAGGGCUCGUAGGCGGCCAACUAAGUCACACGUGAAAUCCCCAGGCUUAACCUGGGAACUGCGUGUGAUACUGGAUGGCUUGAAUUCGGGAGAGGGAUGCAGAAUUCCAGGUGUAGCGGUGAAAUGCGUAGAUAUCUGGAGGAAUACCGGUGGCGAAGGCGGCAUCCUGGACCGACAUUGACGCUGAUGAGCGAAAGCUAGGGGAGCAAACGGG
rnacentral:rRNA from 1 species